GUGUGUGUGUGUGUGUGUGUGUGUGUGUGUGUGUGGUUUGUGGUUUAAAGGGACAUUUUGUCGGAUACCUACUUACUCUAUGAGGACACCACCGGAUAAUUCAAACAGUGUAGCGGCACUCAGGAAGCUGUCAUCAAGCUGCUCUCAAAUUUUCUCAAAAAGUCCCGAUAAGCACAAACCCAACUUUUUUGUGUGUGUGUGUGUGUCGUCGCCAGUGUGUGGUUAUUUUCCGUGCCGACACACAUUUCCCCGCCAUUCCACACACUGAAUGAGCGUAAUUCAUUGGCUAAAAAUCCCUCGUCUGUGAUUGGCUGCAGUCAGACGUCAGUCAUGGUUCUGAUCAGUGAUUCGCUUGCAGUGAUGUCAAUCAAGCAGGUUCUGAUCAGUGAUUGGCUGCAGCGAUCAGUCUAUACGUUUCGCGGGAAAUCUCAUAAAACUGCGGCAACGAGGUGAAGCGGAUUAAGCAAUUCAUGAACAGGUAAGAAACACUUUUAAAAACCUUAGUUUAGGUUUUAAAUACUCAAAGCCAUUUCUGUGACAAAUAGAGGACACAUUCAGGGCUUCGGUCUGCUGCAGCUAAUGGUAACGUUAGUUAAUGUCGUCGCCGAGCUAAUGUAGUCGCCGAGUUAAUGUAGUCGACGAGAGUUAGUUGUUUUGACAGUGACAACGUGGUGUUGACACACGCCGACUCGGUGCUCAACGAGACGGCGGAAUAUAAUUCCACCGGCCCAUCACUAUCAUGUACCGGCCCAUCAUCCGAAAUGAUUAACACAGCGGCACAAGCAUAAUUUUCUCCAAGAGCUAUACCUAUGUUAAUUUGUCUGACUGACUGAGUUUUAUACUGCUACUCGCAAUCGGUCUUCCCACUCAUGGUAACUAUUUUUCGAUUUUUUUUUUAAGUGUCUUCUAAUAUGUGUUUUACAGACUUCGGAAGUCCAAAGUAAGAAAAGAUCUCAACCUUAUUAAUAAACACCUCUAAAUUGGUUCUUACACAGCCGAAGUGUUCUCAACUGUGCGGAUUGAGGUAGAGAAUUUGGAUUUGCAUACAUACACGCAACGCGGCACCCAGUUCUACGCAUGCGCUCAACCCAUGAGGCCCAGUGAUGCUGGUGGCGAUACGAUACAACGACCUACCGUAAGCUUACUGAUCAUGAAUUAAAACGUCUCUAAAAUAUGUUUGACUUAGGACCUAUGUUCUAUGGCCAAGUUCGUUUGCAUUGUAAAUACAAGACAAGUCUGUAGCUGUUGCUAGCCCUCAGCCUACUCUACUCUGAAACAGCCAGCCGUUAGCCUAGUAAGCCUACACUCUAAUGUUGUGUGUUUGAGUGGUGGGCUAGCCGGUUAGCCCAUUGGUGCGCGGUCCAGAUAACGAAUUAUGAUAGCCCUAUACUCCGACAACAAGAAAGUCAUUAGUCCGACAGCCCACCGCCCAGGAUAGGGUGGUGUCAUUUAUGUGCCAUGGUGUACUGUAUGAUGAUGUUAUGAUGUUCAUUUAUGAAGACGUGAAAACAGUGGUAGCACUGGCGUGCGAAGUGCUGCAAGAUGCGGCGGGAACCACACCACCUCCACCACAAAAAAUGAAUUCAGUUCACAAUUUAGUGGGUACUACUCUUGAUACAGUGGAGUAACAUCUGAUCCAUCAUUUAUUCUCUUUUCUAUUCUUUGUCUUUGUCUUCUAUUUUUUGUCUUUCUCUUCUAUUAAACGCAGGUACACACCCAGUCGGAUGAACUCUACCCAUUACUGUGAUGGACGUGGAGUAUACUUUUUUUGUUAAUAAAUAACACCUUUUGGAAGUGUAUAAUGCGUCCACUCUCACUGAUUGCUAUUAACUCAUUGCAUGGCUUAAGAGGUAUGUGGAAAAUAGUUGCACAGUUGGAGUCAGGCUUUUAGCUAGGAUUUUUUGUACAGCACUUGAUCGUUUUUAGGUAAUAUUGCAAUUACACUGAUUUAUUUAUAUGUUUAGUAAUUUAAUGCAUAAUAACAGUGAGUGUAACUGAAACUAGGUAACAAGGUACAAAAUUCAAGUAACAAAUUUAACAAAAAGAAACGACUUUCUACACAACUUUAAAGUGUAUGAUGUAUAUUGUAUUGUAUUGAAUUUAGAUUAAUUAAGACCACCACCUUAACACACAAACUCUUGUUGAACUCAUAAAGUAGUAGGUUCAGUGACGUGCGGUGAGACAGCUGUCUUCUGUAGCUUCUGCGAGCCCGUGAAUCAAUGUUUCGUUGGAAUCAUGAUGUAACGUUGUUGUAGCGAAUACAGCAAUGCUAUUUUCUAAUUGGCAGGGCAUAUGUAUGAUUCUAGACUUCGCUAAGCACUGAAGCGACUGAAACGGUGAAUUUUGAUCACAUUCAGCGAAGUUAACAGGUAAAACGUGAGAAAAAUAGGGCGUCUUUAGGCCGUCCUGCCUAAAAGUAGGGCGUCCCAUUUCUUCUUAUUUUUUAGUAGACUAUAGGGCAGACGCCCUGCUAGCUAAAAGCCUGGUUGGUGUAGACAUUCGAGAGACCAAAAAGACUGAAAAGGUGUGUUAUCGAAUUUAGUGGGCCGGUCUGGUUCAAAAUGCCCGGGCCGAUUUUUUUUGUCCCAGUCCGCCCCUGGAUGUGACUAACGGCGUUAAAAUAAAACGGCGUUGCUAAGGGCGUUAUUUUUUCAUUGACGGAUAAUCUAAUUGUUUCCACGCCGUUACCGACGAUUUGAUGUGGUGAAAAGUAACGCGCUCACCACUGGUCUCAGAGGAUCCAACACUGAAGAAGAGACGUGACACCAGUUUUUUCAGUUUACGGGUCAUUCAGUGAAACCCAUGUUAAAUGUUGAGACAGAAUAUCUAACGUGAUUUGGCAUGAAAUAUAGGUUACAUGUGAUGUGACAGGUAGUUUGAAAUGUAAUGUUAUUGUCUGGGCAUUUUUACAGCAAAGAUGACAGAGAGAAGGAGAGGGAGGAGAAAAACUCCUGAUCAGGAUGCUAUUGACCACAUUACCAUUGGAGAAGACAAAUCUUUCCUGGAAGGAAGAUUUAUUAACACACAUAAAGGGAGAGGUGUGCUUACACAAGACUACAUUGAACCAAAAAGUUUUGUGGUGGAGUAUCGUGGAGUUUUGUCUCUGAGCGACAGUGCAGAUGACAAAAACAGCAAAUAUGCAUUUGAGUUCAUGUGGAAUGGGAAGCACUAUUGCAUAGAUGCUUCAAAAGAGGACGGAACACUGGGACGACUAGUGAACGAUGAUCACAUACAUCCCAACUGCAAAGUCAAGAGGAUAAUGGUCAAAGGAAGGCCACACUUGUGUCUAUUUUCCAUCAAGGAAAUCUUUCCAGGCGAGGAGAUAACAUUUAACUAUGGCCAUGACUCUUGGCCAUGGCGCUCAGUGGCACCCUGUGAAGAACCAUCUGACCCAAACUUGACGAAAAGUGAGCCAGUCUCAGAAAAGGACGUCUGUGAUGGGGUUGAUAUGAUGGCAACGGUUAGUUCAACUCCCGCAACAUCCAAAGACGACACUAAGUUGACAGUAUUCCUGUAAUAUGAUUUUACAUCCAGGCAUAAUACUGGACAUCUGUGAUGGGGUUGAUAUGAUGGCAGCGGUUAGUUCAACUCCCGCAACAUCCAAAGACGACACUGACAUCUGUGAUGGGGUUGAUAUGAUGGCAGCGGUUAGUUCAACUCCCGCAACAUCCAAAGACGACACUUGCCACCAUAUACUUACCAGCGCAUUUGUCAACGCUUUGGACCAUUGUGAAGCUUGCAAUGGACCUGUCUCCGCUCUAAGAUGGCUUGGUUACACAUGCAAAUUGUGUUCAAGGUCGUGGCACAAAUCCUGCUUUAUCAAGAUGAAUCCGUUGCAGGAUGUUGAUGAGCAUGUUUCCGACUCUGCAAGUAGUCACGGCACUUCCUCCGGUGAUCUCUUUCACAUUGACACUGAAUCAAGUUGUGAUGGAAAUAGUGAUAGUGAGGAUCCACAGUGGGUAAACCUACCACAUCGCAAGGGUGGACCAGUUAAAUCACUUUAUUCUCAGGAAAGGACAGAGAGUGCCACAACCUAUGUCCUGCAUGGAACAGGAAGACAAGGAUUCUUCCAAAUCUGUAAAAUUCGACAUUGAUGGUGACCACAUACCUGAUAGUGAACCCUGUUGUGAUGAUGAUCCUACAACAAGCAAUACCCAGACUCUUCUAUCAAGUACAAAAGAGGCUUCUUCUAAUGAGGCUGCAGUCGUGCCAGAAGUCUCUCCUUGCACUCAAAGAAAUUACUGCUAUGUUUGCAAAACACCUCAAUCUAAAAUAUCCUGUCAUCUUAAAAAACAUGAAAAAGGAGAGCUUGAUAUUGCUGAAGCAUUCUCGUUUCCUAAGAAAUCAAAAGAGAGAAAAAGACUACUUGAGAAGUUGCGGAACAGAGGUAAUUACGAACACAACCAGGAAGUUUUGAGGAAUCAUGAAGGACAACUGAAAUUAAGAAGAAGACCAUCACGAUCAAAAAUCUCUGUGACAACCCAAACGCAUGUGCACUGUGCAUAUUGUAAGGGCAUGUUCAUUCGUAAGGAGCUGUGGCGCCACUUGCGUAGAUGCCCAUCAAAGACGGUCUCCGAGAGUGAGGCUGUUGGGAAGAAUAGAGUCUUAGUUGUGGCUGAUAUCUCGGAGACAACAUUCUGCCAAGCAAUUUGCGCUGGACUGUGGAAAAUCCUUAGAAAUAUGAGUGCCCACCCACGAGCUACUACAGGGGACAGGACUGCAUACGAAUUUUUGAACACGCGUGUGGUGCAAAGAAUCCUGAUAAUCUGAGGUCUACGCAACUUCGCAAGCACAUUGCAACAUUGUCCCAAAUUCUCAAUCUCAAAAAUAAUGAGCUGGACCAACUCCCAAUUUCUUGGGCCACGACAUUCUGGUCCACAGAGACUUUUAUCGUCUUCCGGAGGCAACUAUAGAAAUGGCAAAAAUCACAAAGCUUCUACUUGCAAUGGAAAAAGGAACUCUUGCAAAAUUCCAGGGAAUGUCUCUUGACGAGAUUGAGGUUGAAGCUGAAUUGGACCCAGAGCUGGAAGAUCGAGAUGAUGAAGGCGAUGGAGACGACGAAGGCGACGACGACGGAGGCUGCGAAGGUGACGACGGAGGCUGCGAAGGUGACGACGGAGGCUGCGGAGGUGACGACGGAGGCGGCGGAGGCUGCGAAGUUGACGACGGAGGUGAUGACGGAGGUGAUGACAGAGGCGGCGGAGGCGACGACGGAG
ensembl:lncRNA